GUACCUGUUGACCUCAUCUGGGCUGCAGUUGGUGACUGCUCGAAGGGGUGGGAGGAACAGUAUAAAGUCCUGUCCCCUUCCUGCCUUCAAGGGCACCCCUGAAGGACCAUAUCCACUGUGGACCCCCUUGGGAUCAGCCGAGGUCUGUAGAGGUGACAUUGCAGCCCAGCACCUCCCUCCUCCGCCCUGCCCUCCUCUGUCCUCCUUCCACAGGUGUGGCCAAGGGCACUGCCCAGUUGGCCUGUGACCCCCAGCUGAGGCUGCUUCCUGGGCAGCUGACUUCAAGUUUGUGACCUGAGCUCUCCAGGCCCCCGAGCGGCUGGUGCCUUGGCCCUGCAGUUCUGCGGCCAAGACUCCUCCUCUGGGAUCUCGUCUUACCCUGCUGCGGGUGCCAGGGCUGCAUGAAGCAAGGGCGAAAGUCCCCUUCGCCCGGGCGCUGCCCUCUGCCUGCUGUCCCCUGUGCUCCUGUUCCCCGUGGCUGCCCAGGGACAGGUGUGUGGGAUGGAGGACGCGGGAGAGGCUGAGUCCUCCCCAGUGGACCCCCAGAUGCAGACCCUGAGGCAAGGGAGAGUGAGAAAGUGAAGGAAAGAACACAGCUGGAAAUGCAACCAAGAAGGAACCCCAGCCCGGACCACUGUGAGCAAGGAGAGCCGAGCCCCGGGGAGCCCUGAGACAGUGUGGGAGUGGAGGCCUGGGGCGCCUCCAGGCAAGGCAGCGGGAUGUCUAUGCCCCAAGCCCUGCCAGUCGUGGAUGGAGACGCACACUUUAGUGCGGGCUCCAGAGACAGAGGGAGCCCCAGGCCGAGAGCUGUGGGUGCUGGGCAGGUGGGCAUUGGCCAGCAUUGCCCCCACUCAUGGCGGGUCCACCUUAAUUCGACGGGUGUGACACUCUCCUCACACAUGUGCACAUUCAAGAGGCAACUGUCUGUUUCUAUAACUGGGUGCAUUUCGGUCUGGAGCCGUCGAGCCGGGUGGUGGCCAUGAAUCCCAGGCAACUUGGGGGGCCCAAUCCAGGGUUGCCUUUUGGGGGCCUUGGGGCGGCUAGUGCAGUUCCACAUGCUGUUAAGGACCUUGAGAUGGGAGAUUAUUCUGGAUGGUCAGGGUGGGCACAGUUUAAUCACAGCCCCUCUAAGAGGGACUGGGAGGGUCAGGGUCAGAGGAGGAGAGGGGACGACGGAAGGGAGAGAGAGGCUGGGAGAUGCCGUGCAGCCAAGGAGGGCAGGAACCUCUAGAAACCACAAAAGGCGAGGACACAAUCUCUCCCCUGAGGCAGAGACCCAGGGCUGCCCCGCACAGUCGCGCAGAUCGUGUACUGCCCUGCUCCUGGGGCUCAUUCACACAGGUUGCCAUGGCUGUGGGGUCCCUGGGGCUGGGCUAUCUGCCAACCUGGGGGACGCUGCACCCUGUUUUCUGUCCUGUCUACUCCAGCUUUUCACACUCUCUGUUGCCCUUGUCCUUGGGCAUCUCAGUGACUCGAAGGAAUUGGGUCUUGAGACACAGCCGAGCCUGUGAGCGCUGACCUGUGUAAAGAAGACACCAGAAUGAGAUGUCUCCACACACAGAGAGCUGCAGCCGAUGCCGGCCGGUGACUUGGGACUUGGAUGCUUAACAGGAGGCUCCCCCUCUCUUGGGAGGUAGAGAGCAGUGAGGAAGGGGACUCAGCCUCCAUGCCUCCCGCCAGCCCAGCUGCGCCCGAAUCACCUCCCUCCUGAAAGGAUGUCAGCCUCUGCUUGGACACCGUGGAGACAGGGCCCUCCUUGUGCUUCAGAAGCAUCAACGUGUCAGAAAAUCAUCUUCACGCCAAGUCUGGAAAAAAUGGCUUUGAGGUUGUGCACACAAAGGAAGGAGGGAGAGCCCCAGGUGUCGCGGAGGACCAUGCGGCUGACAGAGCCAGCAGGGCGGUGGCGUGUGAGCCGUGCUCUGGAUAUAUAAGGAUCUGACGCUGCUGGCAAUGUCUGAGCUCUAUGCUCGCCCAUCUGUCGGCUGCUAUCAUCACCGGGUGGGAUUAGCGGAGAUCCACUCUUUCAUAUUUAAAUCUUCACAAGAGAAUGAAUCACUUUUAUAAUAAAAGAAAAAGACCGUCCAUGUUGUUAAUGUGCACACAGCAAGUUGGAAGGCCGGGGAGGGCAGCGGGUGGGGACGCUGACCCAGGCGCCCCCCUGCUGCCUGGAACAGCCCCAGGCCUGCUCCACUGUCCCCUCGGGGUUCCCUGUCGAAGAGGCCAAAGAGUGGAGGGGCUGGUGCCUAGAGGGUGUGGAGCUGCAGGUGCACAGUACAGCUGGCACCUGGCAGAGGUGGUUCAUUAUCAAGCAAAGGAUGAACAAGGCACUUGGAGCCCCUUCACAACUGGAACCUCCACUGCAGGCACAAGGCUGGGCUGGACUGGGGUCUCCUCCUCUCCAUGACAGCCUUGGGCAACCUGGAGCCCGCCACUGCCCCUCCCCAGGUGCUGUCCCCUUGAAGCUUCUCCCAACGGUUUAGUAUUGUAGAGUUGGCACAUCUCACGUGAACAAGAACAGCCAUCACUGAAACGAAUGCUCAGAGCGGACCGGCGUUUUUUCCCAGCCACCCUGGGGUGAGCAUGGCUCACGUUGCACACCAGGAAGCCCAGGAGCGGGGAAUUGAACCAGUUCCAUCCAGUCCCUGGCAAGGGACCACCCUGUGUCCGAAGGCCACGUUCAUUUUUCAGAUUGCAGGAAAUGGCUCAGCCUGAAGUUCAAGUUUUCCUCUGAGCUCCUGUUGAUUAAUGUGGCAAAGAGAGCAUGCUGUGGAAUAUGCUGGCAGAAAUGUCAGGAUUGCUAAAGCGUUUCACUGCAAAUGCUCAGGCUGGUGGGGAGGUGCCUUGGCACAAUUCUGCAGAGGGUAUUUGGCAAUAGCAACAAAAUCACAAAGGCACAAACCCUGUGACCCAGAAACACCAAUUUCACGGUAGGAGCUGCUGCCGCAGGGGUUUGCCCAGAGCACAGGGAAAGAUGUGCUCACUGUACUCGCUGGGACAAGCAAGAGAUUGGAAAGAGCUCAGUGUCGUCAUUCAGGGUGUCUCCUGUGUCUCCUGAUCGCUAUAAGGGGUUCCAGGCUGGUCCCCGGGGGAGGAGCUCCUGAUCAGACGCAGGCCCUGCCCCCUCCCCAGCACAGAGCUGGUGAAGGAAGUGGACAUUCAUUCAUUCAGGAUGUUCUGAGUAUUUCAGCACCACCAGGCCCUGGGAAAUCAAGGUCUCAGCAGAUGACGGUGGCAGUUUGAUUUUUGGCUGAAUUGUCCUCUACAGCAGUCACUGGGGGUUGCGUUUUUCUCACACUGCCCAGUCAUGCAGCACACGGAAGCCAUCCAUAUGCCAUGGGAAAAUGCUUUGUCUCCUGCCUGGGCGCCCCCCGAGCCAGUGAGUACAGUCCUGCCUAGUGGCAAGGUGAGUGUCCUGUUCCCAAGUCAUGAAAAUGCUCUUCACUGGGGCGGGUCUGCCGAGUUGGGAAGGGCACUUACGGUUUAAACCGAGAGACUCUCCCUGCAUUUGAAAUGAGGACAUAGAGUUCUUUUUCUCUUUUCUUUUCUUUUGUUUUUUUGAGACGGAGUCUUGCUCUGUCGCCCAGGCUGGAGUGCAGUGGUGUGGGGUGAUGGGGCAAAUGGGGCAGGGCGGCCAGGUGGGGCCAGGCGGGCAUCUCCCGAGGAUGAUCCUGGAGGUCAGCUGCCCGGUGUGGGUGGCCAUGACCUUGGUAGCCUGUGACCUUGGUGGCUGUGAGCUUGGACGAGAACAUUUUCUUCUGCCAGUGCAAUGCCUAGAGAGGCAGGCCACUGAGGGCUGGGGCAGUGAACCCCGGGGACAUCGCGUUGGGGAGUCCUGCCGUGAUAGAGGGCCCCUGGGCACCACAGUGCAGCGUGUACUCCACCGUGGCUGCUGGAUGGCCACCCAUGGGCAGUGGAGCUGGGGCAGGGAUGGCAUUCCAGGUCUACAAAGUAGGGAGAGUGACGGCCCAAAGGAGCGAGGGUCCAGGCGAGCCGCACACGGAGGAGCGAGGGUCCGGGCAGGCCGCACAUGGGUCGGAGGCUGCAGAGCCCAUGCUGACGGCGCACACCAUGGGCUCGGCCUGCUGUCCCUAGAAAGUGUGGGGCAGAAAGAACGGAUGCACCUGUGUGCUCCUUGCUGGAAGUGGCAGGGGGCUCUUCCCAUGCUGGAUCUCCGGACACUCCCCUUGGCGCUCUGCCUGGUGGUCCGCCGCUGCACACGGGACACGGCAGGCUCCGUCCCCUCGGCGGCCACUCUGUCCCCUUUUAAGGCAUGUCAGAAACAAAGCCCUGGACGGCUGUGGCUGGGUUGGGCGUUCGCCCCAGUCCCUUUAAGCCCUCUGGGAAGGGUGGGAAGUUUCCAAAACUUCCCGUUAUCCACACCAAGCUCCUUGACCAGAGUCCAGUAAUGGGACGCUGGCAGUGCCCGGAUGCCCCGAUACAGGCAGGAGAGGCACCGUACUGGGUUCAUCCAAGGCCAGCUUAGGUCCUGGGAGCUAGGACGACCAGAGAGGAGAAAGGCAAGGCAGGGACAUGGCACUGAGACAGAAGAGACCACCCCCAGAACAGAGACCCCCGAGAGGGCAGAGACCCCGAGACAGCAGAGACCCCCAGAGGGCAGCAAUCCCAAGAGAGCAGAGACCCGGAGAGGGCAGAGACCCCAGGAGGGCAGAGACUCCUCAGAGGGCAGAGAACUCUGAGGCCAGUGACCCCCAAAAGAGCAGAGACCCCGUGAGAGGCCAGAGACCCCAGAGAGGUCAGGGGCCCCCGAGAGAGAGGGCAGAGACCCCGUUCCUUGUUUUUCCUUGUUUGCCACCUUCAAUGUCAUUCUUGCCCUCCCUCCCCCGCCGAGUGGGGGACUGUGGUGGCCUUAGCUACCCUCACGUGGCUUUAGGACCCUCAGAGCAUAACUAAGCCCCCGAAGGCUCUGGUCUUCCAACAACAUGAUCUUUAGGAGGGCAAAGCUCCUGCGGCUCCUGUGGGCUGGCAUUGUGACUGCCCUGGGAGGUGGCAGGUGUGACUCGCUGUCCCUGGGGAGGCGGGACCCCCCUGGGCACCUCUGCAGGUGCGAAUCGGGGGUGGUCUUUCUCUGCGUGGCUGCAUGGGGUGAGAGCCUCUGUCCCAGGGCAGGUGUGGGGACAGGCCCUGGUGGAGCGUGCGGGCCGGCUGGAGCUGGGGUGCCCGGAACUGUGGUUUGUGCAGGCCCAGGAGCCUCUGUCCUCGUGUGAUCUUUGUGCACUCAGGACUUCGAGUCACACCUGGAUUUGGUGAAGGGCUCCGGUUUUAGUUCCAGCUCUGGUAGCCACACCUCUGGGAUCACGGGCAGGUCACACUCCCUUUCCCAGCCUGUUUCCCCAUCUGUACGACGUGCAUCCUCCUGUCGCGAGGAUGUGUAGGUGCAAGAGACGUCCACCUCACCUGGCCCUGUCUGCAGGCAUGAGGCUCUGUGAGGCGGGGCCCUCCCUGGGGACUCUGUGGGGAUGAGGCCCUCACCUGGGGACUCUGUGAGGGGGGACCCUCCCUGGGGACUGUGUGAGGAUGGGGAUGAGGCCCUCACCUGGGGGCUCUGUGGGGCUGUGCUGUCAGCUGGGUGAGGGGAGUCCUGGCCAUGGUAACAACAGGUCCAGGAGCUUGCCCCUUUGCCCAGAACAUUCCUCCCAUCUGCCCCCUCCAGGCCUCAGCUUCCACGCCUUUCCCUCCAGGGGACCUCCUCUUCCUUUCCUAGUUCCCCCACCUCCCUCCAUAUUCACCCGUGCGCAUGCCGGUGAGCGGGCGUCCAGGCUGGAGUGCCAGCGUCUGGGUCUGGGUCCCGGUCCUCAGGCUGGAGUGCCGGCAUUUGGGUCCCAGUCCUCAGGCUGGAGUGCCGGUGUCUGGAUCCCGGUCCUCAGGCUGGCGUGCCAGUGCCUGGGUCCCGGUCCUCAUGCUCCCUACACCAUGGCUGUCUCCUGAUGUUUUUGGCUGACUCUCCCUGGAAGCAGAAUGAGGCCAGGGUUGAUGUGGAAGCUGUUCAUUUCUUUGGGAGGUGACCCAGGAAGACAGGGAGUAGGGAAGGGGAUGCACCUGUAAGGGCUGAUGGCUUAGUGCCCCUGCUGAGCACCCUCCAGUGACUCCCCUGGAGCGGGGAGGAGGCUGAGUAUUUAUCCAACUCCUGCCUGUGGGGGUAACAAACGAGGCCGCUCUGGGGGUGCGACUGCCUGAUAGCCGGCCUGCCCCAGCCCAGGCAGAGAGCCCUGGGCAGAGCCCCCUAUUGCCGCCAGUGUCCUUUCCUAGCGGUCAUUCUCACUGCUGUACUUGCAGCGUGGUGGCCCAGUCACAGGCCCUCCCUACCCCCAGGGUUCUGCCCCAUCCUGACAGGGCUGGCCAAGAGCCUGGCACUGGGGCCCGAGAUGAGACCUCAGUGCCACAUAGUGACUGGGGUGGGGGACCGACCAGAGUGGGUGGGAGGCAGGUGCUUUCUGAAGUGUGCCUGGCCUAGCCUUUGUCCAGCGAGCUCUAGACACAGCUGCUGACCCUGAGGGCUCCGGCACCUGCCCUUUUGCCCAGCUGCAGACUGGCUCUCGGUGGCCAUGGGCCUUGAACCAGGUCAGAUGAUGGGGGUUGAGCUGACAGGGCCUUGCUCCAGGCCCUGGGUAAUUGGCUGGGGUCUGGGCCUGGCUGGGGGUGUCCCCAGUGGCUCUGCUAGUCACCUGGUUAGUUGGCCUGGCAGGAUGAGAAGCGGCUGGUCUCACAGACCCAAGGAACGAGCCCUUCCUGGUGAGAUGGGAGGCCCUAUGCAGGCUGAAUGUGCCCGGGUGUGAGCACUUGUGUGUGUGCACUCAUGUUCACAUGCCAUGCCUGUGUGUGCGUGCAGGCAUGUGUAUAUGCAUUUGCCUGUGUGUGUGUGAGUUGAGUGUAAAUGUGUGCAUGUGGGUGCAUGUAUGUGCACAAGUGUGCCUGUGUGUACACAUGUGUGUCUGUGUGUAUAUGCAUGUGCUGGCACAUGUACAUGGGUGUGUGCCCAUGGGUUCAUGUAUGUGCACAAGUGUGCCUGUGUGUACACGUGUGUCUGUGUGUGUAUGCAUGCGCUGGCACAUGUGCAUGCUGUGUGCAUGUGCAUGGGGUGCCUGUGUAUACGUGCACGUGUGCUGGGGAGGGCCCACUCACCACGUGCUGCGGGCGCCCUGCGGGUGCCAGCCCCUCCUCGUCUGCCUUGCUCUCCUGCCCUGCCUUGGCUCCCUGCCUUCCCCUCACCGGUUCUCUCUCUGCUUGGCGUCAUUCCUUUCAUAAAUUCAGCCUGGCCAUGGUUUCCAUGGUGCUCUGAUAAAAACUGGAAUUCCAGUCAUAAUUGCAGGGAGUUGGGGAGCUGGGAGAGAGGGUGGAGGCAGGAGGGAACAUUUUCUAUACAGGAAGCUCAGGUCUCAAUGGCUGUGGCUGGUUUUUCUUCCUUCAGAGGUAUUUAGAGUGUAUAGAAUUCUCUCUCAAGAGCUCCCCUGUUGCCUCGCGAUGGCGACGGGCCGGCACUGUCCUCCUGGGUGGGCCUCCUAGCCGAUGGGCUUCUGUCUCUGUGCUGGAACAGGGCGGAGCUCGGCAGACCUGCUGGGUGGGGAGGGGCUUGACCCGGGCUCUGGCUUCAGGGGACUGGAGUUCAGGGGUGCCUGGGGCAGGCUGCCCGGCCAGUGUCCCCAGAUCUCCCGCUCCAUGACUGAGCUGGAAUUCCAUGGUUGUAUUUCCAUUCCUAUGAUGUUGUCGUCAAUGUCAGUGUUCCUCCGGUUGGGGUGCAGUGAUCUCCUAUGCCCUGGAGUGAACGGGGGUUGUGAGAAUUCCUUGCAGGGGCUGGGGCAGCAGAGCCCCACACCCUCCGUUCUGUGCCAGCCAGGGGGGUGCCGAGUCAGCCAGGUCCCGAGGAGCACUGAGCAGAUGAAUGAAUGAAUGGAUGGAUGGAUGGAUGGAUGGAUGGGAAGGUAUAGGGAGGUGGCUCUCCCACCCCAGGGCGCAUCUGACUCUCCUGGAUAAGUCGUUAACAUGCAGAUUCCCAGGCCACCCUACCUUCUGAUCGCCUGGGGCUCAGCUGGGGCCUGGGAAACUGGUCUGGAACAGGCUCCCUGGUGGUUCUGACGUGAGCCCGCCCAUCUGCCUGCCCAGGAGACACAGGGAACAGGGGCAGCAGGAGCACUGGAGGCCUGUGGUUGGGAAAGGGGCUUUCUUCUUUGUCCCCCAGAGGACAGCGUUUGGCUGUCAACAAGGCCCUGCCUCUGCCCUAGUGGCUUGGGGCUGGGCAGGGGGGUUUGGGGGACCCCUCUGCUAUGUGAGAUGGAGGCAGAGGCAGGGAGGUGGGAAGGGGGAUGAGGCAGGGACACACCCGGCGCAGAAGGCACUUCUGUGGGGCUGUCAGCCCUCAGGGGGGUCCUGCCAUGGGGGUGUCUUCUCGUCCUCCUGUGGGGGUGUCCUCCCGUGGGGAUGGGAGGGAGGGCCUCAUCAGCUCAGAAGCAGAUGGUGGCUGGGUUCUUCCUUCCUUCCUUCCUUCCUUCCUUCCUUCCUUCCUUCCUUCCUUCCUUCAACCUUCUUUCUUUCUUUCUUUCUUUCUUUCUUUCUUUCUUUCUUUCUUUCUUUCUUUCUUUCUUCUUUCUCUCUCUCUCUCUUUCUUUCUUUCUUUCUUUCUUUUCUUUUUCUUUCUUUCUCUUUCUCCUUCCUUCCUUCCUUCCCUCCCUCCCUCUCUUUUUCUCUUUCUCUCUCUCUUUCUCCUUCCUUCCUUCUCUCUCUCUCUCUUUUCUUCUUUUCUUUCUUCUUUCUUCUCUUUCUUUCUUUCUCUUUCUUCUUUUCUUUCUUUCUUCUCUAUCUCUCUUUCUCUCUGUCUUUGACAUGGAGUUCUUGCUCUUGUCACCCAGGCUAGAGGGCAGUGGUGCAACCUCAGCUCACUGCAGCCUACGCCUCCUGGGUUCAAGUGAUUCUCCUGCCUCAGCCUCCCAAGUAGCUGGGAUUACAGGUGCCCACCACCACGCUCAGCUAUUUUGUAUUUUUAGUAGAGACGGGGUUUCACCAUGUUGGCCAGGCUGGUCUCAAACUCCUGACCUCAAGUGAUCCGCCCGCUUUGGCCUCCCAAAGUGCUGGGAUUACAGGCGUGAGCCACCGCGCCCAGCCUUUUUCAGUUCUUUAAACGCUGGCGUGUGUGUGGCUGUGGAUCCUACGGGGUGUUUAUGAAGGACGCUUGGUGUGUCCUUGGUCCCCACGCAUCUUACUGCUGCUCCCACCUGCCCACCCGGGAGGAGGCUGACCUUGUUGCCUCGCUGCUCCAGCUCCUUCCUCCUUGGCACAGAGCCCAGGGAUCCCUAGAGAGAGGCAGAACUGGAAAGACCACAGGGACCUCAGGCUGCUCCCGCUUGCUGGGUCUCAGUCAUGAAGAGCCGUGGGUGUGCGAAAAGCCGGGAGAAACCAAGUGGAAGCCAGUCGGGAUGGUGGUCAAUGUAACAAAGACCCCAGAGAAAGGAAAGGGCUGUGGGGCUAGGCGGUCUUCUGGGAGGGAGAGUGGGGGGCUCAGAGGGAAGCACGGAGUGGAAGGAGGAGGGCGGGCAGGAGGAGGGGCAGUGACUGUUCUCUCGGUUGUUGAUCUGGGUUUGCCUCCAUGCCAUGUGGCACCCCAUGAUUUAUUGGGGUGAUACUGAAACUCACCACCAAAUGGUACUUAUUCCUCCCGGCUUUAGGCACAGACUUUCUUACUUUAAGGAGAACUAUGUUGUCUGAAUCCAAUAAUUUUACUUUAAAAAUGUAGCCAGAGUUAAAAAAUAGCUAUUGGCUAACAGCCCGUGUGAAAAUUUGCCGUGGGGAAUGAGGGCGAGGACCUGAAUGGGUGGGUGGGGGAGGGUGCCCGUCAUCCGAGACCACCCAUGCCUUGUGUUUGCUCCUUCACCUCUGCCCUCCCAACCUGCGCCCCAGCCCUGCCCCUGAGCCUGACCAGCGUCCUGGGGUCCCCUGCAGAGCCCACCUUGCUGCGGUCACCCUUUUGGUCAACUUGCCUGGGGUGAGAGCCCGCCACAUCCACCUCUGCCUGGCUGCCCAACCAGCGUUCCUCCCUGGCAUGCUUUCCCCAUGCCCCCCAGGGGGAAGAGAGGAGCCAAAUGGUUCCCAGAGGCUGAAGCAGACCCCAGGAGGCUCUGGGUGUAGCCUGGACAGUGUCUACACAGCUCGGCGUCUGAGGCUGAGGUGGGAGAGCCUGGGCAUGCAGGGUCUCCUGCCGGGUGAGCAUCUCUGAUUUGGGGGCAAAGCAACCCGUACCCUGUCCUUCAUCCCUCUCUGAGCCCCGCAGCCUGGAGCUUCCUCCUGCCACUGCCAUCAGUGGUCCCUACCAGUCCCUGGGGCAGCAGCUUGGCUCUGCCCUCUCACUGCUCCUGGGUCUUGGUGUGCUGGAGGCUGGGUGCUUUUCUCACCUGGCAGCUCCUGGGGAGGCGUGCCCUCCCCAGGAGGGGGUCACGGUCCUUGGGAGGUGGGGUCUUCUGAAGGUCCCACAAUGGCGAGGGCAGAACCAACACCAGCUCCGUGCAGCUCUCCCCCUCCCUGGCGUCCCCAGCUGUGAAACAGGUGGAGCUCGCCUUCGGCCUGUGGGCCUGCAGGGUGGGUCACCGGGAGCACAUGAGGGCUGAUAGGACCAUGGUCUUCAAGCUUAGGGAGGCUGUGGGUCCUUGGCAGAUUACCAGAGCCUUGGCUUCCUUGGCCAGUCAAAUGGGAACAAUGACCUAAGGAUGCUGAGCCCCAGGGCGGCCGGAGGCUCCCUACACACAGCUGGGUUCAGCCAGGGCUCCUAGGUGAUGCCUGGCAGAAUCUGCGCUUAAAGUCCUGUCUCCCAAUCCUCUUCCUCCUCCUCCAGAGAUGCAGUCAGAGAGACAGCCCCCAGCUCCAGGGAGGAAGCAGGGAGAGGGAGGAGCAGGGAGAAGAGAGGAGAGGGAAGAGAGGCUCGGAGGGAGGCUCAGAGGGGAGGGAGCCUCAGACCAGGGAGAGGCUUGAAGGGGAGAGAGGCUCUAGAGUGGAGAGGAGAGCAGGGACCUGGUUGCAGGCAGUGCUAUACCCUGGGCCACCUCCAGAGUGACAGGAGCGGGUGGCACCAGGCUCCACUGUUGGUGGAGGGGGCUCAGACUAGGCCGGGGCAGAGAAGGAGCCGGGCAGCCAGGCAUGAAGCUCAUGAUUGACACCAAUUCCUUAACCUUAAACAUCACGGAGUGUCCAACUCUGGGGACGAAUCGGGGUGUGGACAGGUUCAGGCAGGGAGCCCGUGGAGGGCAGCAGUCGAGGGCCCGGGUACCGCUCUGGGCCAGGAGGGACACUGGCCUGGCCGCCAAGGCCAGAUGCCAAGGAAGGCAGCCUCCGCCUCCCUCCCAGCUCCCCUGACGCGGCCAACCUUGGUCCUGCGGGCCGGGCCCUGAGUGCUAACUUCCACCUUAUCCCACGUCCCAGCUCACAGUGGCAGAGCUGGAGUCCAGCCCAGGACCCUGUGCGUCACCACCUGUGCGCUCAUGGCUGUGCUGUGCUGCCGGGGGAAGAGCUGGCAUCCCCUCUUCACCCAGUGCUCGCCACGCAGCCUCUGGGUGCACAACACAGGCCCCCCAAGGGCUCCACAUGGUGGGUGCCCUCUCCCUGUGCCCACCUUGUGGCCACGCACAGCCGAGGGGAAGCGGGACCCCGAGGCAGCAGGCUCUCCUCGUCCCCAUCCGGCCUCCUCCUGGCUCUGGCUUCCCUCUGUCGGGGGUUUAAGGCUUCCUAGAGAGAGCAGCUGUUGGGUGAGAGGGUCUUCCCGGAGACCCUGCAGCCUCUUCUGAAUCAGGGGCCCAGGAGUCCUCACUCAAGCCAUCCCCACCUCUGAGCUGGGCAGGUGCGGCUCGGAGGGGAAGGUGGGGGACCAUGCCCUUAGGGUGGGUGGGGUUGUCCUGUGUUUCUGCUGUCCUUUGGGUUAAGGUGUGGGGAUCUUUGUUACCAGGAGAUGCUGUGGCCACUAACGCUUUAGCACAGAUAAGGACAGGCUGAGCCUGGUGGGGAUCUGGGGCAGCGCCGCUUGGGAGGGCAGGCGAAGGUGAGUGCUGGGUGCUGGGAGGGAGGGGCCUGGCAGCGUGUGCCAAGAUCCCUUUAGAUGAUCAGGGUUAUAGUUUAUCUCCCCACCCUCACCCAGACCCCUCCCAGCCCUGCUGCCACCUGGCUGCCCCCAAAGGAAGGAGUCCUGAGCCCCCAGGCACAGGAAAACAACACUUAGAGAAUCUCUAAGUGCUGCAGGGAGGUGGAGGCAGGGCCAGAGCUGCUGAGGACGGCCAAGAGGACCCCCUCAGGAAGGGGUGCUCCCUGCCAUCAGGACCCAGGAACCAUGGCAGGCUCCUGACCACGAGGGCCCCAAGGCUCCUCCCCUCUCCCCCUAGGCCCCUACUCAGCCCCUCCAUGGGCGCUCAAAUCCCUCAAGCUCUCAACCCGCCUUCUCCCUCCCCUAUUGCUCCCCUAGCACCUGCCCUUCUCCUCUCCAGCCACUCUGAGCCCCUCAUGUCCCUGGGGAGACCCCUCACUCCUGCACUCUCCCUUGCUCAGGCUCUGCCUCCCACUGGCCCACCUGCCUCCUCCUCCAGGCAGCCUUCCUGGACUGUUCAAGCCCAAGCAAAUGCUUCUUUUGCUGAGCUCCACAGGGUGAGCCCAGCACUCCUAAUCCUGAGGCCCAGGAGGCUUAUGAGAAAGACCCCAGGGCACCACCCUGCAGACUCUGCUGUCACCGGCCUCUUGUGGCUCAGGCUCAGGCAAGCCGGAGAAAAGCUUUUGGUGCCCUAAAAAGGAGCACAGCAGAGAGCCAGAGCCGCCCAACCAGGGAUGGAGAAUGACCCGGGCCUUGGCGGGGGAGAAUUGGAAACGGUGGGUCUGGGAGGUGCCUGGGAACCCUCAUUUUCAGAGCAGAAGCCCUGGGGGUGAGGGUUCAGCUGCAUCUUCUGUCUCCUCAGUAGCCUGCACGGGGCUGGGCCCAGGCCAGAGGCUCAGUACUGCACCCGGGCCUAUCUGUCCACUGCUAAGGCCUCGAUGGGGCCAUGGCCCCCUCCCCCACAACCACAGGACCCCUGGGCUGGCUAGAGGGGGCCAUGGAGAUCUGAGCUGAGCGGUCAUGGGACCCCGGGCUCCCCGCUUCACUGAGCGUCCUCUGUGUUCAGCUCACAGAUCAGGAGACUGAAGCUCAGGAGACGGUGAGGACUUUUGCCCACACAGGCCCCUCGGUGGUCACUAGGCCCUGCAGGGGGCCCACUGCUCCUUGAAGCACUAGGGAGGGUGGGUGGGCUGUGAGCAGAGGGAUCCCGGCGCCCCCCACCCGCCAGCUUCUGGGACCAGAGCCCUGUAGACUUUGGUAAGAGGCCCAGUGCAGGCUGGCUGCUGCGUCGGUGCGUGUCUGAAUGAAGGAGUGAAUGAAUGAGUGGGUGGGUGGGCACAUGCAGGCCCUCAACACUCAAGUCCACAUCGAGGCCCUUCGGCCACCUUUAUUGAGAGAUACACGGGGUUUGUUUUCACCACCUGCAGAUGGUGGGAGUGGGGGUGGGCGUUUGAGCUGUGAGGGCUGUGCCGUCACCAGGGGCCGGCUCAGGGGCUCCGGACUCCAUGACCGACGCACUCAUGGCACGCAGGGCCAGCUUCCGGGGCCACAUCAUGACCUGGCCGCAAGCUAGUGAUACGAGAUCAGGUGUCGUGGGUGUGUCUGUGGUGCGUGGACACGUGUCCCUACCUACGGUAAGUGCACAGAUAGGAGCAUCAAGACAUCAACGGGAAAAGCCGACUUCAGUCACAGCCACAGACCCCGCCCCAGAGACCCCACGUCUACCGAGGGUCUAGGGCAGUGGGGCAUCCACUCUGCCCUCUCUCAGAGCACCAUCCUGAGAGACACCAUUCUGUCUGUUCCGGGGUGGAUCCUCCAGGACAGUCUCAUCCAGCUGAGAGGGCGGAACGACCACAUCUGUUCCUUAGAUGGGGAAACCGAGGCUCAGAAAUUAUGGCCCAAGGUCCAGGAGCCCCAGAGAAGGGUCUGAGGCUGCCCUGUCUGGCUCUGAGUCCAGGUCCUCGUUCAGAGCCCAGCCUGAGGGGCCUUAGCAUUUGCUAGACUCUGAGCCCACUCCUGAGCAGGGGUAGGGGCUGCACUGACCUCUGGACAUCCCUGGCUGGCAGCAAAGCUCUUCCGCCCAGAGCAGACUAUGUCAUGGGGGCUCUGUGGGGGAGGAAGGCCCCUCUGUGCUGGCCCUGUUUCCCUGGGGUUGGUGGCCCUUGGGCACUGGGAGGGCUGCCUGGCUGAUGACCAGGCUUGUGGGGGCAAAGUUUGGCAGGAAGUGCAGCGAAUAGGCCUGACUCCCCUGGGCCCUGUUCUUGGUGAGCCGAAGGGUCCUGUGGUUGGAGAGGGAUUUUGUGGGGUUCAAGGAACCCGUCAACUCAACAGCCAGAUCCAAGCGACUGCAGAUACUGUAGCAUUCGACUCUCAUUUCUCAGACGGGGAAACUGAGUCCAGAGAAGGCAAAGUGGCUGAACACAGCCCAAGACCAGGUGUCCGGGUCCUGGGUCGACAUGGCCGGUGCAGGCAGCCAGCCCAGAGCCCAUUUCCCUGGGGCAAAGGCUGCUCUGAGACAGGGAAAUCCCUUGAAGAAAAGGCUGACUUUUGCUUCCUGUGGCUCCCAGCUCCUGGCUGGUCCCGGCCAGCUUCUCCUGGGACUGUCUUCUCUUAGGCUUAGGCGACCUUCUUAAGCCAGGGGCCUGGCUAGUCAUGUGCUCUGUGGAGCCUGGAUCCUAGAGACCAAGGAGGCGCCAGCUUUUUCAACUGCUUGGAGGCCGGGGCCAGGGCUGCCGCCGCCAGAAGGUGACAAAUGAGUCUGUGCCUCAGCCCAGGGCUGCCGGCCAGCGGUGCCUGGACACACCGCUCCUUCUCACCUGAAGCCUGAGUUCCUGGGACCUGGCAUCUUACUCAGAGACCAGGCACCAUCGCCCCUGUCCCACAUUCCCCUUCUCAAGGCCCCACCCUGAAGCCAGCUCUGGGCCUGGCUCCAGACCUCAGCCUGCACAGCCACAAGCAAAGCACACGGAAUGCGCACCCCAUCCUGGCCACGGCCACUCGGGCAGGUGCUGGAGACCAGGCCCCUGAUCCGGCGUCCCUUCUGCCGAGCCCGAGAGGCCACAGCUGAAGAUCUUGAGGCUGAGGCCUGAGCCCCCUCCCAUGUGGUGUCCUGGCAGAGCCCCUGGGCCUUGGCCUGGGUGAGGAUGGGAGGGAGGAGGGGAGGCUGGGGUCUGGGCCAUUCCAGGCCAGCCCAUUUUUGUCCUUUUUGGGCUUGUGGUCCCCUCUGGGGGCUGCAGCUGCCUGCGGCGAGGGUGGUGGGAGGGACUCCCCACGGCGAUGGGCCCCCAGCUUGCCAGGCCUGAAGGGGCGAGUCAGGGAGCUUUCUUGGAGCUGCCUGGGGGAGGGGGGCAUGGGUCUGCAUGGCAGGGUCUGCACGUGAGGCCCAAAGCCACGGAGCCUGCGGGACUGGGGCUGGACUCCCCGAGCUAGACAGAGGGGGUGCAGGCCUCAGAGAUGUGGACAUGGGAACAGCAGCCGGGCCGCCGGAGGCCCGGCCCCACCCAGCACCUUUCAUUUCCUUCUCUGGAACCAUCCAUUAGUCUGAGAACAAAGAAAACUGCCUUUUGCCGCACACUAAUUUCUCCUUGUUAGAGGCCCUUUUCCUAUCUGGGAGAGGAGCGCUCUCUUGUUCUGGCUUUCAAAGAGGAGAUGGGGGAGGGGUGGGGAGGAGUUGGGGACAGGCCCGGGAGACACUAAUGAGAAACAUGGGUUAGGGGGUGGGAGGGGGGGGUCCCAGGCCUCAGACUCCAAGGCAGGCCAGUGUGGCCAGGAAGAUGUGGCGGAAGUUGGCAGAGACGAGGUUGUACAGGAUGGGGUUGAUGGUGGAGCUGACGUAGAAGAGUGCGUUGGUCACCAUGUAGAAGUAGUGGUAGAAGUCAUAGAGGAACCUGCGGGGAGAGAGAGGCGCUCAGAUCCCAGAGAGAACUCUUGAGGGCCCCAAGGCAGGGUGACAGCCGGGGCCACAGCGGCUGAGGGACGUGGUGGCUCAGACGCUAAUUAAAACACCCCUUGAGAAUGGUUGUUUGGGGACAUUUCAUAACAAGCUCCAGGGUCUGGCUUCUCCUGAGCAGCUGCAAGUUCUCGUCGUGCUCCCGCCCAGCCUGGGCUGCUGCUGCUUUUUUUUUUUUUUUGAGACGGAGUCUCGCUCUGUCUCCCAGGCUGGAGUACAGUGGCGCGAUCUCGGCUCACUGCAAGCUCCACCUCCCGGGUUCACACCAUUCUCCUGCCUCAGCCUCCCGAGUAGCUGGGACUACAGGGACCCCCCCACCACGCCCGGCUAAUUUUUUGUAUUUUUGGUAGAGACGGGGUUUCACCGUGUUAGCCAGGAUGGUCUCGAUCUCCUGACCUCGUGAUCCACCCACCUCAGCCUCCCAAAGUGCUGGGAUUACAGGCGUGAGCCACCGUGUCCCACCCAGCCUGGGCUUCUUUAGGUGGAGCGUGGGCUCUGCUUGUCCAUCCCUGCCUCUCCUUGCAGCUGCCUGCAUUGCCCUUCGCAGCUCUGUGCAUCCAAGGGUCCAGGGCUUGGCUGGUCCCGGCCUAACCAAACAGCCAGGGCAGUAACCCCCUCCACACCUCCCCAGCAGCCACACACCUUGCCCUCAGCUUGUUGCCUCCCCCCACAGUGAUCUCACUCCCUCACCAGGCAGCUCAAUUACUACCAGUCAGCCCUGAGUUUCAGAAGCUUUUGCAGGGGCCACACUCUGUUCCCCGUGCCUUCUCCUCCUCAUUGGUCGUAGGUGCGCCCUCCCUGGUGGUUGUCACUGGAAGGAACCUUUUAUUCUGGGAUCUGGCAGCCCCACUGCACAGAAAAGGGUUCACAAGUGGGCCCCAAGCUGCCAUCUCAGGAUGGCCAGCUGGCAAGGCUGGCCUCUGGCUGGUGCCUGGGGCCUUGGAUUUUGGGAAGGCUCUGCCAUUUUUGGGUGAGAAGGGCUCCCUGCCCCUGAACUGUUGGUGCAAACAGUAGGGGUUUUGCCAGGCAGUGGGUGCCCCUGUGAUCGGCCCCCAUAUCGUCCUGUGAGGCUCCUCUGGGAGGGGGCCCUGGAAGCUGCAUCUGGUCUUCCGCUGACCCCACUCCAUGUGUCUUUUCCCUUUGCUGACUUUGCUGUAUAAGCAAAGCUUUGUCAGUAUUGGUGCUCUUGCUGCGAUAAGUCACAGCCCUGAGUAUAACUCCAGGCUGAGCCCUGUGGGUCCAACCUGGGUGGCCUUGGGGCUCUGACAGCUGCCAUAUGAGGAGGUGACACCCCCACCAUGUCCCCAGCAGAGCCAGGGAUGUCUCUCUUUCACCUUCGGGAAACUGCCUGGGCCAUCUCUCUUAGGACCAACUUUCUUUCUCUGCACCAGUCUGGCCUGAAUAGCCCCUGCCUUGAACCUGUCCCUCCAUGGCCUUCUCCCGGCCCCAGUCACAGCACAACCCUGCCCAGGGGGUCGCCGGGGGACUCACCACACCCCUGCCCUGAGUGGAUCCCCUCAGCAGUGCCUGCCACACCCACCAUCUGUUUUGGGAGCACUUACUUGUCCAGCACCCAACUUCCUGGUUCCCGGUACUCACGGAGUCCACUGCUCAUCCGAGAUGUAGCAGAACAUGAGGCGCCGCACGUGGUAGGGCAGCCAGCAGACCACAAAGGCGAUGACCACUGCACCUGAGGCACAGAGACGUGGGCUCAGAGACCCACUGCACCUGAGGCACACAGAUGUGGGCUCAGAGACCCACUGCACCUGAGGCACAGAGACGUGGGCUCAGAGACCCACUGCACCUGAGGCACAGAGACGUGGGCUCAGAGACCCACUGCACCUGAGGCACAGAGGCGUGGGCUCAGAGACCCACUGCACCUGAGGCACAGAGGCGUGGGCUCAGUGGGGGAGACAUGGGCUCAGAGACCAGACACAAGCUCAGAGAGGGAGAGACGUGGGCUUGGGGAGGGAGCAUAAGCUCAGAGACAGGACACAGGCUCAGAGACAGGACACAGGCUCAGAGAGGGAGAGACAUGGGCUGAGGGAGGUAGACACUGGCUCAGAGACAUGGGCUUAGAGACACAGAGAUAUGGCCUCAGAGAAGGAGACACGUGGUCUGAGGGAGAUGCAGGGAGACAUCCCAUGUUCAUGGAUUGGAAGAUUUAAUAUUGUUAAGGUGUCAGUACUACCCAAAGCACUCUACAGAUUCAAUGCAAUCCGUAUCAAAUUUCAAGAAUGCUUUUGGCAGAAAUAGAAAAAUCUGUGCUAAAAUUCAUAUGAAAUCUCAAAGGAUCCCGGACAGCCAAAACAAUCUUGUAAGAAAAUAAAGUUGGAGGUCUUACACUUCUUGAUUUCAAAACUUACUACAAAGUUACAGUGUGGUGCUGGCAUAAAGAUAGACACGUAGACCAAGGGAAUAGACUAGAAAUCUCAGAAACGAACCCUUACCUUUAUGGUCAAGUGAUCUUCACCAAGACCAUUCAGUGGGGAAAGGACAGUCUAUUCAACAAAGGGUGUUAGGAAAACGGGACAUCCACUUGUAUGAAGGUGGAUCCUCCCCUCACACCAUAUACAAAAAUGGACUUGAAGUGGAUUAAAGACCUGAACAUAAGAACUAAAACCAUAAAACUCCUAGGAGAAAACAUAAUUACUUUACAACAUUGAUUUUGGCAAUGAUUUCUUGGGUAUGACACCAAAAGCACAGGCCACAAAAGAAAAAAGUAGAUAAAUUGAACAACAUAAACACUGAAUUUCUGUGUAUCAAAGGAUGCCAUCAGGAGAGUGGAAGUCAGCUCACAAAAAAGGAGAAAAUAUUUGCAAAUCACAUCUGAUAAUGAGUUAACCUUGAGAGUAUAACUCCUAAAACUCAACAUGAAAACAAACAAUCCAAUUCACAAAUGGGCAAAGGACUCAGACAUUUCUCCAAAGAAGAUACAAAUGGUCAACAAGCACAUGAAAGAUGUUAUUAAUCAUUAAUCUUAAAUCACUGGAGAAAUGCAAAUCAAAACCACAACGAGAUGCCACCUCAAAUCUAUUAGGAUGGCUACUAUUAAAACAACAGGCACACACUGGGACCAGGACACACCUUGGAUGUUGGCAAGCCAGCCGUCCUGAGCUGGGGCUGGUCCUCAGGGUUCCGAUAGGAUGGGCGUUGCCCUGCUGUGGGCUUCGCCAGCCCUGAGAGCUCCGUGUCCAAAGCCCUGGCUGGUUCCCAUGAGCAGGGAAGGCUGAGCCCAGAGCCAGGCUCUCUUAGGGUAAUGUGCUUGGCUAUGGGCCUCUCCUGUGACUGGCCACACCCUCAAACAAGCCCUGAAAAUGGGCCAGCACCAGGGAGGAGCUCAAGCCAAAUGCUUCAGGCAAACCAAACUGAAGACCUGGGUCUCAGGCAUGAAAGGGCUUCAUUCUCUCCAGUUCCCAUCACACUCUCCAAGCCCUGUGUUGUUGGCAGCGUCUGCCCUGCCCCUGCCCCGCCUUCUUGCCAAGCACCUCCCACCACAGGGCCUUUGCUCCAGCCAUCCCCUCGCCUGCAGCUCUGUUGCCCAGAUGGGCUCCUGGUCCUUGGGACUUGCAGGAUGCCACCUGCUCUGAGAGCCCCUCCCAGCUGCCAGAUGUAGUCAGGGGUGGUGGUGGUGGUAUUUUUUUCUUCAUGCUCAUCACUGGCUGAAGGUGCCUGGUGCCUGUGUUUGUGUCCUUGGUGGAGCCCCUGUUCCCCCAGAGUGCAGGGAUGCCCCUGCCUCUGCUGCCUCCAUGCCUGUGAGCAAGAAUAGGCGAGACCCAGGGUGGGCACUCAGCCAACUGCUGAGCAAAUGAAUAAGUGAGCACGUGAGCAAGUGGACAGAUGGACAGAGAGAUGGAUAGAUGGAGGGAGGGAGGAAUGGAACAAGGGAGGGAAGGAGGGAUGGAAGGAGGG
rnacentral:lncRNA from 1 species